CGCGGUGGCUCUCCGAGGUCGGACGGCCCUGAGUGCGCGGAAGGCGAGUGCCGUGAUUGAAUCGUCUCAGCUACCCCCCAUUUCCGGUUCUUACACUAUUUACGGGACACCCUGUAUAAGUAUACAUGUUAUCACGAGAGAAAUUAGGCAUAUUGCACAGGGUUCUGAGAGUUAUAGCACGCAACUCUAAAGUUAUUGUACAUCAAUUUGGGAAACUGCAUAUAUUCAUAAGAAGUACGAGUUCUUGACACAAGUAAAAGAACAGACUGGAGUACUGGACAAAAUAGCAAGUGUCUACCAAAAGUACCUAGAAUAUGGUAUUUACAUCCGGAAUGCUUUCCAAAAUUAAAAAAUCUCAAUAAUCGUACCGUGUUGAAGCACUUGGAACUUGUGGAAGAGAAACACGGAACAUCUAUGUAUAAACACCGCCAGUAUAAAUUAUUGGAAGUCAUUAGAAGUGAUAACGGAUGUUGGAAAAUUUUUGUACAAUAUUAUUUUGAACGAUAUAAUACUUAAACCCGAUAUGGGUUAAAGGAUCGAUUCCUGCUUUUUACACGCUAUUCAGAAACAAAGGAAACUAUUUAAUGGAACAGAUUAAACCCCAUCCUUUUGUGUCGAAAUUGUACAAAGAGGCGCAAAUUGAAACCCUGACGUUCAAUUCAAUUCAAUUCAAUUCAAUUCAAUUUUUCUGCCUUCUCGUUGCCCAUCGCGCCCUUGGACUUCGAUUCACUGCGGAGGAUUUCUUUUGACAAGAACGGAUUUUGCACGAAUUACAGACCAAACAGUGAGCUUAUAUUUUUAAUUAAGCUAGGUUCGAGGAAAACGAAUGUUUCUUGGAACAAGCUUCAAAAGACACCAUUUAUACACAGUUAUAUCCAAUAUUCGACUCGUUAAAUCAGCUCAGUUCAAUUCCUUGGGUUAUUAAUUCCGCUAUACUUGACAUAGUCAUGAAAAUAUUCCAGGAUGGUGGCUCUGUGGAAUUAUGUGUUCCACAAUCGGUUUCUAAGUUAAGUCCUCCACCAACUACUAUUAACAAAGACGCAACUCCAAAAGAGAAACGAAGCACAGCGAUAGUGUUGGGUUUUAUGGUGAAACAAAUCACACCGUA